rnacentral:rRNA from 1 species
UACGGAGGGUGCGAGCGUUAUCCGGAUUCACUGGGUUUAAAGGGUGCGUAGGUGGGCAGGUAAGUCAGUGGUGAAAUCUCCGGGCUUAACCCGGAAACUGCCGUUGAUACUAUCUGUCUUGAAUAUAGUGGAGGUGAGCGGAAUAUGUCAUGUAGCGGUGAAAUGCUUAGAUAUGACAUAGAACACCCAUUGCGAAGGCAGCUCGCUACACUAUCAUUGACACUGAGGCACGAAAGCGUGGGGAUCAAACAGG